rnacentral:rRNA from 1 species
UGGGGAAUCUUGGACAAUGGGCGCAAGCCUGAUCCAGCCAUGCCGCGUGAGUGACGAAGGCCUUAGGGUUGUAAAGCUCUUUUGCCGGGGACGAUAAUGACGGUACCCGGAGAAUAAGUCCCGGCUAACUUCGUGCCAGCAGCCGCGGUAAUACGAAGGGACCAAGCGUUGUUCGGAUUUACUGGGCGUAAAGGGCGCGUAGGCGGCAAUUCAAGUCAUCUGUGAAAUCUCCGGGCUUAACUCGGAACGGUCAGAUGAUACUGCUUUGCUAGAGUGCAGAAGGGGCAAUCGGAAUUCUUGGUGUAGCGGUGAAAUGCGUAGAUAUCAAGAGGAACACCUGAGGUGAAGACGGGUUGCUGGGCUGACACUGACGCUGAGGCGCGAAAGCCAGGGGAGCAAACGGGAUUAGAUACCCAAGUAGUCCCUGAGCGGGCUGGCAAGGCGCAU